rnacentral:rRNA from 1 species
AUUGAACGCUGGCGGCAGGCCUAACACAUGCAAGUCGAGCGGAGCGGCGGUCGGGUGAGUAAUGCCCAGGAAUCUGCCUGGUCGUGGGGGAUAACGAUCGGAAACGGGCGCUAAUACUGCAUACUCUCAGAUGAGCCUAGGCCGGAUUAGCUAGUUGGUGGGGUAAAGGCCUACCAAGGCGACGAUCCGUAGCUGGUCUGAGAGGAUGAUCAGUCACACUGGAACUGAGACACGGUCCAGACUCCUACGGGAGGCAGCAGUGGGGAAUAUUGGACAAUGGGCGAAAGCCUGAUCCAGCCAUGCCGCGUGUAUGAAGAAGGUCUUCGGGUUGUAAAGCACUUUAAGUUGGGAGGCGUUACCAGCAGAAGAAGCACCGGCUAACUUCGUGCCAGCAGCCGCGGUAAUAC